AUGCUCCCCUAUAGGGUUAUUGGGAGCCAGGUAGGGUUUAAAGCUGGGCUACACAACAUGAGGUGUGUGACUGGGAAGCUAGUGGGGCCGGGUAGAUUGAGACCCUCCUGUUCCCCGCUGUUCCUGCAGGAAGCCCAGCGAGAGCCUGGGCAGUGGUCCAGAUGGUCCAGGGAUGCUGCGGCCGGCCUGCGUGGCUGCAGUGGCAGUGAUGGCUGGGAGGGAUUCCGGAGACAGCCUUGCCGGGGAGUGGGUACGCUUGACCUUGACGGAAAAAAUUGCAUGCGCUGCGGCUGCAGCUUGCUCUCCUCCCUGCCCCUCCCCCGCGCCGCGGACUGCGGCGGAAUCCCGGCGGCUCGCGGAAGCUCACGCCCGCGCGGCUGCAGCACGCGAGGAGUGGGGGCGGGAUGGCCGGGGUGGCACCAUGGCGGGGAUGCCCGUCUUCCCUGGAAGGCGAGGAGGGGAGGAGAGGAGGCAAGUCACGUGGUGCCGCCACCAGGCACAGCCCGAUUGGUGGAUCCUGCCGCGGAGCCAGCCGCGCGGCUCGGGUUUCCAGGCACGGAGCAGCCCCCUCCCCUCGUUAGAGCGCCCGGGGGUACGCUGGCCCCUCGCGGAGGAGGGUGGCGCGGGGAUCCUGCUCUCUCCGUUGGAUGUAAGGCAGCCCGCUCCUUGGCUGCGUGCCGCGGUCUUCACUGCAGCUUGGGAGAUGGAGUAACUGAAAUAUCAUUUGCUGGAAGCAGCAAUCGGCCCAACCUCGAGGAAAGGCAAACCGAAAACUCCGCCGCAGGUUCGAUGCGGCUAGGGGCGAUGAUAUUGACGGAAGAGGCCAAGUAAACUAGUUCAGUUACCUUCUUCUCAAGAUGGCGGCCCUGGAAUCACCUGCCCUCCGAGGAGGCGGGGCUCCGCCCCAGCACGCCCAGCGCGCCCCACCCCGCUCGGCCCCGCCCAGCGCACCCCCACCCUCCGGCAUGGGCGGUGCGGGUUGUGAGGUGUCUCCGCGAAGCGCCUGCGCAGUGGGCAUCGGCGCGCGGGGCGGAGGCUUUAUAACCACUUCGUCGCUACUGCUUGGUUUCUAUCUCUGGGAGGGAGGCUGAGGCGGCGGCGGCCCGGGCGCCGGCUGAGGGGGCGCUGAGGCGGGAGCUGUGGUGGCGCUGGGCGCCCCUCGCCCCUCGGCCUCUGGGGACCAUGGGCUCCGAGAAAGACUCCGAAUCGCCGCGCUCUACAUCUCU
rnacentral:lncRNA from 1 species